GAUGAACGCUGGCGGCGUGCCUAAUACAUGCAAGUCGAGCGAACAGACGAGGAGCUUGCUCCUCUGACGUUAGCGGCGGACGGGUGAGUAACACGUGGAUAACCUACCUAUAAGACUGGGAUAACUUCGGGAAACCGGAGCUAAUACCGGAUAAUAUAUUGAACCGCAUGGUUCAAUAGUGAAAGACGGUUUUGCUGUCACUUAUAGAUGGAUCCGCGCCGCAUUAGCUAGUUGGUAAGGUAACGGCUUACCAAGGCGACGAUGCGUAGCCGACCUGAGAGGGUGAUCGGCCACACUGGAACUGAGACACGGUCCAGACUCCUACGGGAGGCAGCAGUAGGGAAUCCUCCGCAAUGGGCGAAAGCCUGACGGAGCAACGCCGCGUGAGUGAUGAAGGUCUUCGGAUCGUAAAACUCUGUAAUUAGGGAAGAACAAAUGUGUAAGUAACUAUGCACGUCUUGACGGUACCUAAUCAGAAAGCCACGGCUAACUACGUG
rnacentral:rRNA from 1 species